AGUGAACGCUGGCGGUAGGCCUAACACAUGCAAGUCGAGCGGCAGCACAGUAAGAGCUUGCUCUUACGGGUGGCGAGUGGCGGACGGGUGAGGAAUACAUCGGAAUCUACUUUUUCGUGGGGGAUAACGUAGGGAAACUUACGCUAAUACCGCAUACGACCUACGGGUGAAAGCAGGGGAUCUUCGGACCUUACGCGAUUGAAUGAGCCGAUGUCGGAUUAGCUAGUUGGCGGGGUAAAGGCCCACCAAGGCGACGAUCCGUAGCUGGUCUGAGAGGAUGAUCAGCCACACUGGAACUGAGACACGGUCCAGACUCCUACGGGAGGCAGCAGUGGGGAAUAUUGGACAAUGGGCGCAAGCCUGAUCCAGCCAUACCGCGUGGGUGAAGAAGGCCUUCGGGUUGUAAAGCCCUUUUGUUGGGAAAGAAAAGCAGCAGGUUAAUACCCCGCUGUUCUGACGGUACCCAAAGAAUAAGCACCGGCUAACUUCGUG
rnacentral:rRNA from 1 species